UGUUUUCUUUGAGAUAUAUCUAUGAAGAAUUGAUGGUGUAGUAUAAUAAUUGCUAUUCACAACAACCAUUUAAAGAAUCCUUUUAUGUAUAUGCAUUAAUUUGUUCUUCCCCUUUUUUCAUGCCCUUGGUCUCCAGAAGAGUACUUACAAUUCAAAAGAACAUGUCCAGAUGCAGUGGCUCAUGCCUGUAAUCCCAGCAGUUUAGGAGGCGGUGGCAGGUGGAUCAUGAGCAUUAUUUCCAUUUGUUACUCCCACAAGCUGGAGUUUAUCUGACUGGGUGGUGCAUGGAAACUUCAGGACAAAAUUUAAUGGCCAAAGGCUGAGUGAAAUUUACCCUGACUGUAGUUAUGAAAAGGGUAAGUGAAUAAACCUCUUUGUUGCACUUAUGUUUAUUUUCUC
rnacentral:lncRNA from 13 species